rnacentral:other from 1 species
AGACUCCUGCGAUGUGCGUUUUGGCUUUUAUGUUUUUAACCUUAAGUGUUUCCAGGGAGACAGAACUUUUCGCGUAUGUCAGGCCCACCUCCGGUACGGACGCAUGGGAAGGCAAAAGCGAUGACGGGUCACCCACCUGUUAGUAACAGGUUAUAGAAACAUGAUGCCAGACGGCAGAGCGGGGCUGUU